UUAAGCGACUAAGCGUACACGGUGGAUGCCUAGGCAGUCAGAGGCGAUGAAGGGCGUGCUAAUCUGCGAAAAGCGUCGGUAAGGUGAUAUGAACCGUUAUAACCGACGAUACCCGAAUGGGGAAACCCAGUGCAAUUCGUUGCACUAUUGCAUGGUGAAUACAUAGCCAUGCAAGGCGAACCGGGGGAACUGAAACAUCUAAGUACCCCGAGGAAAAGAAAUCAACCGAGAUUCCCCCAGUAGCGGCGAGCGAAAGGGGAGGAGCCCAGAACCUGAAUCAGCGUAUGUGUUAGUGGAAGCGUCUGGAAAGUCGCACGGUACAGGGUGAUAGUCCCGUACACAAAAAUGCAUAUGUUGUGAGUUCGAUGAGUAGGGCGGGACACGUGACAUCCUGUCUGAAUAUGGGGGGACCAUCCUCCAAGGCUAAAUACUCCUGACUGACCGAUAGUGAACCAGUACCGUGAGGGAAAGGCGAAAAGAACCCCGGCGAGGGGAGUGAAAUAGAACCUGAAACCGUGUACGUACAAGCAGUGGGAGCACCUUCGUGGUGUGACUGCGUACCUUUUGUAUAAUGGGUCAGCGACUUAUAUUUUGUAGCAAGGUUAACCGAAUAGGGGAGCCGUAGGGAAACCGAGUCUUAACUGGGCGAAUAGUUGCAAGGUAUAGACCCGAAACCCGGUGAUCUAGCCAUGGGCAGGUUGAAGGUUGGGUAACACUAACUGGAGGACCGAACCGACUAAUGUUGAAAAAUUAGCGGAUGACUUGUGGCUGGGGGUGAAAGGCCAAUCAAACCGGGAGAUAGCUGGUUCUCCCCGAAAGCUAUUUAGGUAGCGCCUCGUGAACUCAUCUUCGGGGGUAGAGCACUGUUUCGGCUAGGGGGUCAUCCCGACUUACCAAACCGAUGCAAACUCCGAAUACCGAAGAAUGUUAUCACGGGAGACACACGGCGGGUGCUAACGUCCGUCGUGAAGAGGGAAACAACCCAGACCGCCAGCUAAGGUCCCAAAGUCAUGGUUAAGUGGGAAACGAUGUGGGAAGGCAUAGACAGCCAGGAUGUUGGCUUAGAAGCAGCCAUCAUUUAAAGAAAGCGUAAUAGCUCACUGGUCGAGUCGGCCUGCGCGGAAGAUGUAACGGGGCUAAACCAUGCACCGAAGCUGCGGCAGCGACGCUUAGGCGUUGUUGGGUAGGGGAGCGUUCUGUAAGCCGUUGAAGGUGACCUGUGAGGGUUGCUGGAGGUAUCAGAAGUGCGAAUGCUGACAUAAGUAACGAUAAUGCGGGUGAAAAACCCGCACGCCGGAAGACCAAGGGUUCCUGUCCAACGUUAAUCGGGGCAGGGUGAGUCGACCCCUAAGGCGAGGCUGAAAAGCGUAGUCGAUGGGAAACAGGUUAAUAUUCCUGUACUUGGUGUUACUGCGAAGGGGGGACGGAGAAGGCUAGGCUAGCCGGGCGACGGUUGUCCCGGUUUAAGCAUGUAGGCGGAGUGACUUGGUAAAUCCGGUUGCUUAUCAACGCUGAGGUGUGAUGACGAGCCACUACGGUGGUGAAGUAGUUGAUGCCAAGCUUCCAGGAAAAGCCUCUAAGCAUCAGGUAACAUUAAAUCGUACCCCAAACCGACACAGGUGGUCAGGUAGAGAAUACUCAGGCGCUUGAGAGAACUCGGGUGAAGGAACUAGGCAAAAUGGUGCCGUAACUUCGGGAGAAGGCACGCUGGCAUUAGGUAAAGGGACUUGCUCCCGGCGCCGAAGCCAGUCGCAGAUACCAGCUGGCUGCAACUGUUUAAUAAAAACACAGCACUGUGCAAACACGAAAGUGGACGUAUACGGUGUGACGCCUGCCCGGUGCUGGAAGGUUAAUUGAUGGGGUCAGCCGCAAGGCGAAGCUCUUGAUCGAAGCCCCAGUAAACGGCGGCCGUAACUAUAACGGUCCUAAGGUAGCGAAAUUCCUUGUCGGGUAAGUUCCGACCUGCACGAAUGGCGUAAUGAUGGCCAGGCUGUCUCCACCCGAGACUCAGUGAAAUUGAACUCGCUGUGAAGAUGCAGUGUACCCGCGGCAAGACGGAAAGACCCCGUGAACCUUUACUAUAGCUUGACACUGAACAUUGAGCCUUGAUGUGUAGGAUAGGUGGGAGGCAUUGAAGUGUGGACGCCAGUCUGCAUGGAGCCAACCUUGAAAUACCACCCUUUAAUGUUUGAUGUUCUAACUCGGCCCCAUAAUCUGGGGUGAGGACAGUGUCUGGUGGGUAGUUUGACUGGGGCGGUCUCCUCCCAAAGAGUAACGGAGGAGCACGAAGGUUAGCUAAUCACGGUCGGACAUCGUGAGGUUAGUGCAAAGGCAUAAGCUAGCUUGACUGCGAGAGUGACGGCUCGAGCAGGUACGAAAGUAGGUCUUAGUGAUCCGGUGGUUCUGAAUGGAAGGGCCAUCGCUCAACGGAUAAAAGGUACUCCGGGGAUAACAGGCUGAUACCGCCCAAGAGUUCAUAUCGACGGCGGUGUUUGGCACCUCGAUGUCGGCUCAUCACAUCCUGGGGCUGAAGUAGGUCCCAAGGGUAUGGCUGUUCGCCAUUUAAAGUGGUACGCGAGCUGGGUUUAGAACGUCGUGAGACAGUUCGGUCCCUAUCUGCCGUGGGCGUUGGAAGAUUGAGAGGGGCUGCUCCUAGUACGAGAGGACCGGAGUGGACGAAUCACUGGUGUUCGGGUUGUCAUGCCAAUGGCAUUGCCCGGUAGCUAAAUUCGGAAGAGAUAACCGCUGAAAGCAUCUAAGCGGGAAACUUGCCUCGAGAUGAGUCUUCCCUGGGGCUUUAAGCCCCCUGAAGGAACGUUAAAGACUAUGACGUUGAUAGGCUGGGUGUGUAAGUGCAGCGAUGCAUUGAGCUAACCAGUACUAAUGAUCCGUGAGGCUUAACCUU
rnacentral:rRNA from 1 species